UUAACCAUUUUAUAUCUUAAUGGUUUGGUGAUGAUGAACUCCUUUAGUUUUUUCUUGUCUGAGAAGCGCUUUACCUGCCCUUCAGUUCUAAAUGAUAGAUUUGAUGGGUAGAGCAAUUUGGCUGUUGGUCCCUGCUCGUUAUGUCUUUGGAUAUUUCUUGCCAAUCCCUUCUAGCCUGCAAAGUUUCUUUUGAGAAAUCAGCUGACAGUCUUAUGGGAACUCCCCUGUAGAUAACUAACUUCUUUUCUCUUCCUGCUUUUAAGAUCAUCUCUUCAUCUUUAAACUUUGGCAUUGUAUUCAUGAAGUGUCUUGGAGCGGGCCUCUUUGAUUCCAUCUUGUCUGGCACUCUCUGUGCUUCCUGGACUUGUAUGUCUAUUUCCUUCACCAAAUUAGGGAAGUUUUCUUUCAUUAUUUUUUUAAAUAGAUUUCCAAUUUCUUGCUUUUUCUCUUC